GCUCAGGUGGCCUAUUGGUUAGGGUGUCUGCCUCGGAUGCAGAAGGUCGUGGGAUGAAACCUCGGCCGACCA